rnacentral:lncRNA from 1 species
CGGUUUGGUCGAAGAUGUCGCCACUAGGAUUAGUUUGGAGCGCUUUUUUGGUUCAAUUUAAGGAUUAAGAAAUCAGGAACACUGGCACGUGCGGAGAAGUUCUGCUUUACUUUGAUCCCAUGAGCAGAUGGAUUAAAUGUCUACUUUGUGGACCUUGUUGGAUGUAAUGAAUGGAUGACGAGUGUUUUGUGUCUAAGCGCCUCCUCGUGCUGUUGGAGAAGUCUGGGACAGUCAGGUGGUGACCGGGGGGCUCUGCCUCACAGAUGAUCGGUAUGUUACGUUAAUGGAAACCAUGCCACAAGUAGUUUUGGGUUUUAUUUUGGAAAAAAAGUAUAAAAACAAAACAGCGACAUCCUGGAAUUUACCUGGACCUGUCCAGUCAUUUGGAUAUUUUCAUCUGAUCAUCUUGGGACUGCAGGUCCUCUACAUCUCUGAGCUCGAGGAGAGAGGAUGAAGGUCCAUUCUCACCAUCCGACUCACAAACAACACUGCUGGGCUUUUAUCUUUGGAGACCGGCCACAUGUCCAUCCAGACCUGACUACCUACGAGUGCACAGUCCUGAGACCUGUGGCAUUAAUAAAGAUAAUGCUGUUUGGAAUAAUAACAGUCACUUCCAUCCAAGAGACACAAGUGUGGCAGAACACAAAAGAAACCAAGAUGAAAGGCUGAAAGUCUGCUUCAUCAUUGUGCCACUUCGUCUACCCUGUAAGGAGGAGGACUCGUGGGCUCCCAAUGUCCAUGACAUAGAUCAACCCUGUUGUCCAUGCACAAGAAAAAAAAGUAAGAAUCCACCACUUUGUUUUUUUCCACCGUUGUUCUCAAUAAAGGCAUUUUGCUUUCCAACGAGUUUUCUUUUUUGUGAGCAAUAG